GAUUAACGCUGGCGGCGUGCCUAACACAUGCAAGUCGAGCGGCAGCGAGUUUUACACUGACUUCUGGAAGCUUCUAGUUGAAAGAGAAGAUUUAUUCAAGAAUUUUGUGUAAAAUGUCGGCGAGCGGCGGACGGCUGAGUAACGCGUGGGAACGUACCCCAAAGUGAGGGAUAACGCAUCGAAAGGUGUGCUAAUACCGCAUAUGGUCUUCGGAUUAAAGCCUUCGGGCGCUUUGGGAACGGCCUGCGUAAGAUUAGAUAGUUGGUGGGGUAAUGGCCUACCAAGUCGACGAUCGUUAACUGGGUUGAGAGGAUGAUCAGUCAGACUGGAACUGAGACACGGUCCAGACUCCUACGGGAGGCAGCAGUGAGGAAUCUUCCACAAUGGGCGAAAGCCUGAUGGAGCAACGCCGCGUGCAGGAUGAAGGCCUUCGGGUUGUAAACUGCUUUUAUAAGUGAGGAUUAUGACAGUAACUUAUGAAUAAGGAUCGGCUAACUACGUG
rnacentral:rRNA from 1 species